CCCUUUUCGGAGGGAGCGUCAGACGGGUGAGUAACGCGUGGGAAUCUACCUAUCUCUAGGGAAUAACUCAGGGAAACUUGUGCUAAUACCCUAUACGUCCGUAAGGAGAAAGAUUUAUCGGAGAUAGAUGAGCCCGCGUUGGAUUAGCUAGUUGGUGGGGUAAAGGCCUACCAAGGCGACGAUCCAUAGCUGGUCUGAGAGGAUGAUCAGCCACACUGGGGACUGAGACACGGCCCAGACUCCUACGGGGAGGCAGCAGUGGGGAAAUAUUGGGACAAUGGGCGCAAGCCYUGAUCCAGCCAUGCCGCGUGGAGUGGAUGAAAGGCCCCUAGGGGUUGGUAAAGCUUCUUUCACCGGGUGGAAAGAUAAUGACGGUUAACCGGGAGAAAGAAGCCCCCGGGCUUAACUUCCGUGCCCAGCCAGCCCGGCGGGUAAUACCNAAGGGGGGGCCUUAGCCGGUUUGGUUUUCGGGAAUUUUACCUGGGGCCGGUAAAAAGCCGCCACCGGUAAGGGCGGGGAUUU
rnacentral:rRNA from 2 species